UGUUCUAGAGCAGGGGUAGUCCACCUUUGGCACUCCAAAUGUUGUGGACUACAUCUCCCAUGAUGCUCUUAUAGCCAUAAUACUGGCAAAGGAUCAAGGGAAAUAUAAUCCACAACAUCAGGAGUGCCAAAGGUUGUCUACCCCUGUUCUAGAGUA